rnacentral:rRNA from 1 species
AACGAACGCUGGCGGCAUGCCUAACACAUGCAAGUCGAACGAGACCUUCGGGUCUAGUGGCGCACGGGUGCGUAACGCGUGGGAACCUGCCCUUAGGUUCGGAAUAACUCCCCGAAAGGGGUGCUAAUACCGGAUAAUGUCUUCGGACCAAAGAUUUAUCGCCUUUGGAUGGGCCCGCGUUGGAUUAGCUAGUUGGUAGGGUAAAAGCCUACCAAGGCGACGAUCCAUAGCUGGUCUGAGAGGAUGCUCAGCCACACUGGGACUGAGACACGGCCCAGACUCCUACGGGAGGCAGCAGUGGGGAAUAUUGGACAAUGGGCGAAAGCCUGAUCCAGCAAUGCCGCGUGAGUGAUGAAGGCCUUAGGGUUGUAAAGCUCUUUUACCCGAGAUGAUAAUGACAGUACCGGGAGAAUAAGCUCCGGCUAACUCCGUG